UAGGGAAUCUUCGGCAAUGGACGGAAGUCUGACCGAGCAACGCCGCGUGAGUGAAGAAGGUUUUCGGAUCGUAAAGCUCUGUUGUAAGAGAAGAACGAGUGUGAGAGUGGAAAGUUCACACUGUGACGGUAUCUUACCAGAAAGGGACGGCUAACUACGUGCCAGCAGCCGUGGUAAUACGUAGGUCCCGAGCGUUGUCCGGAUUUAUUGGGCGUAAAGCGAGCGCAGGCGGUUAGAUAAGUCUGAAGUUAAAGGCUGUGGCUUAACCAUAGUACGCUUUGGAAACUGUUUAACUUGAGUGCAAGAGGGGAGAGUGGAAUUCCAUGUGUAGCGGUGAAAUGCGUAGAUAUAUGGAGGAACACCGGUGGCGAAAGCGGCUCUCUGGCUUGUAACUGACGCUGAGGCUUGAAAGCGUGGGGAGCAAACAGGAUUAGAUACCCUGGUAGUCCACGCCGUAAACGAUGAGUGCUAGGUGUUAGACCCUUUCCGGGGUUUAGUGCCGCAGCUAACGCAUUAAGCACUCCGCCUGGGGAGUACGACCGCAAGGUUG
rnacentral:rRNA from 1 species